GCCUGGGUGAACCGGGUCUAAUACUGGAUAUGACCUUCUGGCGCAUGCCAUGUUGGUGGAAAGCUUUAUUGCGGUUUUGGAUGGACUCGCGGCCUAUCAGCUUGUUGGUGGGGUAAUGGCCUACCAAGGCGACGACGGGUAGCCGGCCUGAGAGGGUGGACGGCCACACUGGGACUGAGACACGGCCCAGACUCCUACGGGAGGCAGCAGUGGGGAAUAUUGCACAAUGGGCGCAAGCCUGAUGCAGCGACGCCGCGUGGGGGAUGAAGGCCUUCGGGUUGUAAACCUCUUUCAGUAGGGAAGAAGCGAAAGUGACGGUACCUGCAGAAGAAGCGCCGGCUAACUACGUGCCAGCAGCCGCGGUAAUACGUAGGGCGCAAGCGUUAUCCGGAAUUAUUGGGCGUAAAGAGCUCGUAGGCGGUUUGUCGCGUCUGCCGUGAAAGUCCGGGGCUUAACCCCGGAUCUGCGGUGGGUACGGGCAGACUAGAGUGAUGUAGGGGAGACUGGAAUUCCUGGUGUAGCGGUGAAAUGCGCAGAUAUCAGGAGGAACACCGAUGGCGAAGGCAGGUCUCUGGGCAUUAACUGACGCUGAGGAGCGAAAGCAUGGGGAGCGAACAGGAUUAGAUACCCUGGUAGUCCAUGCCGUAAACGUUGGGCACUAGGUGUGGGGGACAUUCCACGUUUUCCGCGCCGUAGCUAACGCAUUUAAGUGCCCCGCCUGGGGAGUACGGCCGCAAGGCUAAAACUCAAAGGAAUUGGACGGGGGCCCGCACAAGCGCCGGAGCAUGCGGAUUAAUUCGAUGCAACGCGAAGACCCUUACCAAAGGCUUGACAUGAACUGGAACAGCGCA
rnacentral:rRNA from 1 species